UACAGAGGUCUCAAGCGUUGUUCGGAUUCAUUGGGCGUAAAGGGUGCGUAGGCGGCGCGGUAAGUCGGGUGUGAAAUCUUGGAGCUUAACUCCGAAACUGCAUUCGAUACUGCCGUGCUUGAGGACUGGAGAGGGGACUGGAAUUUACGGUGUAGCGGUGAAAUGCGUAGAUAUCGUAAGGAAGACCAGUGGCGAAGGCGGGUCUCUGGACAGUUCCUGACGCUGAAGCACGAAGGCCAGGGGAGCAAACGGG
rnacentral:rRNA from 1 species